rnacentral:misc_RNA from 1 species
ACCUAGGUGAAAAUCCAAUCAGAGAAACACACAUGAAUAUCCAAAGUUAAUAUGGCAAAGAUCCAAAUCAAGAUUCAGAUUGGCACGGAAUUGAAUCUCAGAAUUCCUUUUUCCUUGGCUAUUCCAAUGACCAAUAAAAGCAAAAACAAACCCAUCUAACAAAAUUUAAAGACCCAUAAUCUGAAAUGAAAUUUUGCAUUACCUUGAACUCUAGUGCUAAAACAUUUUCUAUUUGCUUUCAAACUUUUGGUUAGCCAAAGUUUUAAAUCAUUUUUUGUCAAAAUUUCUACAAUUUUGCAGCAGCAGGGAGGCGUAGUACCAGCUGAAAAUGAGUUUGACU